AUCAACCACCACCUACAUCCUACCAGUGGGGGAUCAAUGCCACUGAAUGCUAUCCACACCUGAGCUUGGAAUAGCUCUUAAAUAGGUGAGUGGGAAUACCAUUGCUGUGAAGUUUCCUUUCGCUCUAUUGUUUGAUGCAGUGUACACUAUUGGAGUUUUUCUUUUUCAUUUACAUAUUCUAAUCUGAACUAAGAUAAUCUGACUACUUCAAGAUCCGCAGCACAAAC